GUUUAAAAAGUAAUGGUUCUGCUAUCACUCUUGGAUGGACCUGCGGUGCUAUUAGCUAGUUGGUAGGGUAACGGCCGUACCAAGGCGAUGAUGCAUAGCCGAGUUGAGAGACUGAUCGGCCACAUUGGGACUGAGACACGGCCCAAACUCCUACGGGAGGCAGCAGUAGGGAAUCUUCCACAAUGGACGCAAGUCUGAUGGAGCAACGCCGCGUGAGUGAAGAAGGGUUUCGGGCUCGUAAAGCUCUGUUGUUGGUGAAGAAGGACAGGGGUAGUAACUGACCUUUGUUUGACGGUAAUCAAUUAGAAAGUCACGGCUAACUACGUGCCAGCAGCCGCGGUAAAU
rnacentral:rRNA from 1 species